CUCGGGGGCAGAUCUGUAGGGUCUGUUGUAGGAUAUGAGGUCCACAUUAUGAGUUUAUUCCCAGACUUCUCCCUCCUCCAGGUGUCUGUCGUCGAAAUGGCCAAACUUCCACCCAAGUUGUAUCCACCCCUCAAAUAUAUGAGAACGUUCUUCCAGCUGGACAGGUGAGUGACUCAGGGGGCCUCCAGAUGGUCGUUUGGGGUGAGAUGGGGCCACCUCAAGCAUGGCAAGCACUAGGCACCAACAGCAUCUAAAUGCCGUGCCAUCUCCACCCCACACCCCUUUGAUCUGGAUUUCCUCUUUUCAGGGGAAAUUCAAUAAGUUGAAAAAAACAAAACCCCUAUUGCCCACAAUCAACCUGUUUAUGUACCUGUCUAACCUCCAACACAUUUGGGGAUGGUAUGAUUGGAAAUUUGUAUCUGAUGUAGAAAUAUUUCAUCUUGCUUUCUCCUCCUGAACUGUGAAGAACUCUGGCGGACUUCAGUUCUCUGCCAGGAGCAUUAACGGAGGGUCGAUUAUUUUAUUUUAUUUUAUUAUUUAUUAUUUAUUAUUAUUAUUUUACUAACAACCAAAACACAAACAGUGAAAACAAACAGUGAAAACCCCCAGGCGGCUGAUGCAUUGGGUAUACAUAAUAAUAACAUAUUCAAAUCAGCCAUAUGUACAAUUCUAUAUACCUUAACACUCCUCCCUCCACAAGGUUUAUUUAACUUUUAGCAUUUUAAUUGCCCCAAAUUGUUCAAACCUACCCAAAUAAUUCAAUAUCUUCUCAAACCAAUCCUCUUCAUUCUAACAGAGGGUCGAUUAUAACCAGGCUCUGUUGGAGGAAAGAUGAUAACCUUGCGAGGAAGGCUGCCAUCAAACUAGUUUUCUUACGCUAUUGUUGCCAGUAUUAUGAUGGGUUUAGAAUGGAGCCGAUCCUCUCAAUUUUAAAGCAUUUACCUGGUAGACAAGAAACUAGCCUACUGCACAAAGGUGGAAUUUACAUUUCUCACUCCACCCAUUUUUACAUCUGGCUCCACCCACUACUGAUCUGCGGCCACUUAAAAUCUUCCUUUCCAAUCAAGCUGGGGAAAUUUUCCUUUCUCUUGUAGCAAACCAUGUGAAUGGAAAGGGCAGGAAUAUUAUUGGAAGGGAAACCCUUUUUGGUAAUUGAGACAGGAGCUCAGAUGAUCUUAGAAUAGGGUUUUGGGUAGAUGUAGAGUUGAGCAUGUUUUCUCUGUAUCAUGUUGGCAUUCUAUGUUAUCUGGAGUUGGAGACUGCAGUUAAAUUUUGCACCAGGUCUCUGGCCAUGUGAUUAAAAAUGAUUUGACCUAUUUAGAGUACAAAGUAUUGUGGGUUAAGAGGCACCCUCAAGCUUUUCCCGCUAUUGCAUGCUGUUUAACAUUUAUUUUUUGCAUCAGUGCUAACUUAGCUGACCUUGAGAGCAGAUGAGGGGUGCCAUUUCCAUGAUCCAGAGGAUUUAUGUUGUUGUUGUUGUUUAGUCGUUUAGUCGUGUCCUACUCUUCGUGACCUCAUGGACCAGAGAACGCCAGGCACUCCUGUCUUCCACUGCCUCCCGCAGUCUGGUCAAACUCAUGCUGGUAGCUUCGAGAACACAAUCCAACCAUCUCACCCUCUGUCGUCCCCUUCUCCUUGUACCCUCUAUCUUUCCCAACAUCAGGGUCUUUCCUAGGGAGUCUUCUCUUCUCAUGAGGUGGCCAAAGUAUUGGAGUCUCAGCUUCAGGAUCUGUCCUUCCAGUGAGCACUCAGGGCUGAUUUCCUUAAGAAUGGAUACGUUUGAUCUUCUUGCAGUCCAUGGGACUCUCAAGAGUCUCCUCCAGCACCAUAAUUCAAAAGCAUCAAUUCUUCGGCGAUCAGCCUUCUUUAUAGUCUAGAUUAAACAGUGGAGCACACAAAGGAAUGACAAAUUAAGUCACGAAGAUGCGAAAGGAAAGUAGGUUUAAAAACAAAACAAAAACAUAACUUUCUGUUUUCAUAAAAACACUCCCUGUUUCAGCAUCUGCUAAGGUGCCCCUAAAUGUGGGUCUUAAGAAAAUGGAACAGGCCAAGUUCAGCUGGCCACACAUUUGAAACUGGCCAUAAUAAUAUAAACUGAAUUGUCAGAAUUCUGCACUGACACACUGCAAGAACUGGGAAUCAGGGCUAAGGUGAGGUGCUCCCUUCAACAUAUUUUUGUCGUUGACCCAGGUUCAUCCUGAAAAUUCCUCCAGCGCUGCCAACACAUAUGAGGUGAGUCCUUUGUGCUUCAAAAUGUUUGGAAAUGCCAAAUAUGACCAAAUAUCUGUUACAGUGGUCCCUUGGUUCUCAAACGCCUUGGUACUCAAGCAACUUGGAACCCAAACACCGCAAACCCAGAAGUAAGUGUUCUGGUUUGCGAACAUUUUUCGGAAGCCGAGCGUGCUCCGUUUUGAGUGUUACACUUCUGAUUUGAGUGCCACACUUCCAUUUUGAGUGUUACGCUGAGGUCUGUCAGUUUUUGCUAUUUAUUUCACAUUUUUGAUUUUGCGGCUGUUUUGUUUUCUUUUUGUGACUGUGGAACGCAGUUCAGCUACUGACUGAUUGAUUGAUUAUGUGACUGCAGUACAUUGUUCACUGCUUUCAUUUUAUGGCUUAAUGGUCUCAUUAGAUAGUAAAAUUCAUGUUAAAUUGCUGUUUAAGGGAGUUGUUUUUAAAAGUCUGGAACGUCUUAAUCCAUUUUGCAUUACUUACUAUGGGAAAACCUGCCUUGGUUUUGGAAUGCUUUGGUUUGGGAAAAGACUUUGGUUUGAGAACCAAGGUACCACUGUAUUAACAAGAGCCCAUCAGCGGCUCUCACAAUUAACCCAGGGUUACAGACACAACUCAGAAAGCUGGCCUUAAGAUGGCCUCGUACAUUUUAGGGCCUCAUGGGCAAUUGUCUUCCUCAUGUACCUACCCAACAGAACAUAGAGAGUGGCCAAAUACCAAGUCACCUCUUUAGUCUAUCAAGCUGAGUACAGCCUACAUUGAAUGGCAGCUGCUCUCCCAGAUUUCAAGCAGGGAUCUCUCCCUCCAGAACAGAAAUGUAUGUACACCUAAAUGGCCAGCUGCAAAGGUGUGCAGGUCUCCUGAAGGGUUGUAGAGUCAGGUGGAAAUGGGUGUUUCAUCAAGUGAAGCUUUUCUCUGCUCACACUGCAAAAGAAGCCCUGAGGGAACUGGACCUGAAAUUCUUCCUUUGCAUGGAAUUCACAGUGGCGUGCCCUGUAUUCCGAAUUAUCCAAAUUCCAGGCAGAGGAUGCCCAGGUUCCCUGAAAGUAUAAACCACUUGCCUUAAAGACACUAGCUCUGAUUUCCGUCUCUUCUUACAGGCCAUACAGCUUCCAAGGAUAUAAAUACGUAAAUAAAUGUAUUCUUACACUGGCCAAGAAAACAAAUGAAAGCAAAGGUGGAUUUGACUCUGUGGCUUCCACCUGACCAUCUCCAUUUUCUCUUUAGACCUUGCAGCCCAGAAUCCCUUCUGUCUACGAAGAGAUAAAGAGAUAAGACAUGGACCAGCAAGUUCCUCUCCACUGCUGAGGCCUCUCCUGGGCCCUCAAGCCUCUUUCCUGAUCUGAUCUCUCCUUUCAGAUGGUGCUGAGUAAAUGCCGGGCAGGUCCUUCUGGAAAUCCUAGUCCUUGUUCUGAACAAAGGAAGCAGCCUUGGUCCCCAAGGGACUCUCACACUGGGAAAGACUUGCGGAUACUGAGACAGAGACACAAAGGAAACUCCUCCUGGAACAGCCAGGCAGAAAUCCUUGGAAUUGCAUCUUGUGUGACUAAAGGAUUAAUGCUGAGGGGGAAGAAAGAAAAGGGAAAUUCCUCAUGAAAAUUUGCCUGCA